UACAGAGGUCUCAAGCGUUGUUCGGAUUUAUUGGGCGUAAAGGGUGCGUAGGCGGCAUGGUAAGUCGGAUGUGAAAUCCCGGGGCUCAACCCCGGAACUGCAUUCGAUACUGCUGCGCUAGAGUACUGGAGAGGAGAUUGGAAUUUACGGUGUAGCAGUGAAAUGCGUAGAUAUCGUAAGGAACACCAGUGGCGAAGGCGGAUCUCUGGACAGUUACUGACACUGAGGCACGAAGGCCAGGGGAGCAAACGGG
rnacentral:rRNA from 1 species